AACGAACGCUGGCGGCAUGCCUAACACAUGCAAGUCGAACGAGAUCUUCGGGUCUAGUGGCGCACGGGUGCGUAACGCGUGGGAAUCUGCCCUUUGGUUCGGAAUAACAGUUGGAAACGACUGCUAAUACCGGAUGAUGACGAAAGUCCAAAGAUUUAUCGCCAGAGGAUGAGCCCGCGUAGGAUUAGCUAGUUGGUGUGGUAAAGGCGCACCAAGGCGACGAUCCUUAGCGGGUCUGAGAGGAUGAUCAGCCACACUGGGACUGAGACACGGCCCAGACUCCUACGGGAGGCAGCAGUGGGGAAUAUCGGACGAUGGGCGAAAGCCUGAUCCAGCAAUGCCGCGUGAGUGAUGAAGGCCUUAGGGUUGUAAAGCUCUUUUACCCGGGAUGAUAAUGACAGUACCGGGAGAAUAAGCUCCGGCUAACUCUGUGCCAGCAGCCGCAGUAA
rnacentral:rRNA from 1 species